rnacentral:rRNA from 1 species
UACGUAGGAGGCGAGCGUUGUCCGGAAUUACUGGGCGUAAAGGGCUCGUAGGCGGCCAACUAAGUCAGACGUGAAAUCCCUCGGCUUAACCGGGGAACUGCGUCUGAUACUGGAUGGCUUGAGGUUGGGAGAGGGAUGCGGAAUUCCAGGUGUAGCGGUGAAAUGCGUAGAUAUCUGGAGGAACACCGGUGGCGAAGGCGGCAUCCUGGACCAAUUCUGACGCUGAGGAGCGAAAGCCAGGGGAGCAAACGGG